CAAAAAUUCCCUCUAUGUCCUAGACCAAAAUAGCACAUUAAGUGGGCCUAUUUAGGCCCAUAUCACAUUCAUUAACAGUGCCCGAGUCAAAUAGGGAGAAAAUGGGCACUGUAAUCGACUUGUGGGUCCUACUGCCUACGUCAACCAAUCAAAGGGCUUGGGUUCCUUUUUCUGUUAUGUGUGUAAGAUAUUACACUCCAUUUCACUUUAAAUUCAUAAGAUCAAUGUUGCAGGAUAUCAUGAAAUGCACUAUUUUAAUUUGUUUUGCAUUUUAGGAGUGGACUUUUAGUAUUGGAAUUUGUUGGCUUCGCUCAUAUCUUCCUCUUGCUUCCACCAGUGGUUGGAUCUUGCAGUGUCUGUCAAUGAUCUCCUUUAGCUCUUUGAUUUGUGUGAGUGAUGUCAAAGCAUGCUUUCAGCUCUUCGCAAUUCUCAAACAGAACUGAUAAUAUGGCAUGCUUAUCAGUCUCUAGCAUUGAUUUGAACCCUAUUUCUGAACACAAUAAUAAUAAUAAUAAAAGACCUAAGAUUGGAUGUGACUGACUACUUGAUCAGAAGCCCAUAUCUGAAUUAGGAUCUGGUACCUUACAUAUUGAACGGAUCCAAACCUGAUAGGAUCUGAAUACUAUUCCCUUAGCUGAUUUUGGAUCUGGGUAUACAUGAAUAUUCCACCUGAAUUUGACCCCCGUGCUAGAACAUUGUUUUUUCGAAGUUAGUAUUUCAACUGCAAGCUCAACCAUGCUGCUCUCAUCUGGACUCAAAUGUAUAUGUGGAUCCAAUUCCAACAUGAUGCACAUCCUAUCGUUCAAACAUGCUUGAAGAGCUCUGACAAGAACUUUUAUGGGGAGGAAGCUGGAAAUGUCCCUACGGUGUCAUAAAAAGGUUUGUAUCCAUACUGAGGAAGGAGGUUUUAAACUAUUUGACAGAGCUUUAUUGACAAGGGGCUAUGUUGAUUGGGAACAACACAUAAGAUAUGUGGAAAGAUGAUACCAUUUCAGUGCAAUUCUAUCUAUCGGAGGUCUUUUUGCCCAGUAAAAGGAAGAUCUCUGAUGAAGGAGCAUUGAAAAGGCAAAAUACAAGGAAUAGGAAAAUGCUUACGGUGCCAACGUCUGGUGGUAUGUUUGCUAACUGUUUUAGGGCUACUUUUUAGGUACUAAACAGCAUUCGAAUGGCAUGAAGUUGGUUCUAUUUGAAAGCCUAUCAAGUCAAACAUCAUGCAAUUUUGAUGUGAUUUUGAGUGAGUUGUGACUGAUUUAUAAAGGAUAUUAUGGUUGUGAUAUGGACUUAGUGGUAUUUUAGUCAUUAUUAAUUUUUUUUAUUGAAUCAAUGGUUAGGACUAGAAUUAAUAAAUAAUUUUUUAUUGGUAGAA